rnacentral:rRNA from 1 species
AUAUGGUCAAGCGAGAAAGGGUCCAUGGUGGAUGCCUUGGCGCUAUCCGACGAAGAAGGCCGCGGUAAGCUGCGAAAAGCCAGGGUUAGGAGCAAACAUCCGUUUGACCCCUGGGUAGCCGAAUGGGGUAACCCGGCAAGUUGUUAAUACUUGUCAUCGUGCACUGAAUUCAUAGGUGUACGAAGUGAGACGCAGGGAACUGAACCAUCUAAGUACCUGCAGGAAAAGAAAUCGCAGAGAUUCCCUUAGUAGCGGCGAGCGAAGCGGGAAGAGCCUAAACCUGAACUGUGUGAUAGACGUCAGUCGUUGCAGUUUGGGGGUUGUAGGAUCUUACGUCUGGGUUCUGACGGACCUGGGUUGAGUUAGAAAACUGAUGCAUAGUGGAACGUCACUGGAAAGGACGGCCAAAGAGGGUGAUAGUCCCGUACGCGAAAUGCAAGCAGUCUCAUAGUAAGACACCUGAGUAAGACGGAUCACGAGGAAUUUUGUCUGAAGCUAGGGAGCCCACUCUCUAAGGCUAAAUACGAGAUAGCGACCGAUAGUGAACGAGUACCGCGAGGGAAAGGUGAAAAGCACCCCGGGAGGGGAGUGAAAUAGAGCCUGAAACCGUGGACCUACAAGCGGUCAAAGCCCGCAAGGGUGAUGGCGUGCCUUUUGUAGAAUGAGCCUGCGAGUUACCGUUUCAAGCGAGGUUAAGGCAUAGUAGUGCCGAAGCCGGAGUGAAAGCGAGCCUGAAUAGGGCGAUGAGUUUGAGGCGGUAGACCCGAAGCCGGGUGAUCUACCUAUGGCCAGGUUGAAGCUUCGGUAAAACGAAGUGGAGGACCGAACGCUAAUCUGUUUAAAAAGGUAGCGAUGAGCUGUGGGUAGGGGUGAAAGGCUAAUCAAACCCGGAGAUAGCUGGUACUCCUCGAAAUGGAUUUAGGUUCAGCCUCGGAUGGUUUUUUGCGGAGGUAGAGCACUAAUUAGGCUAGGGCCCUUCACCGGGUACCAAACUUAGUGAAACUCCGAAUGCCGUAAAACAAAGUCCGGGAGUGAGACUUGGGGCGAUAAGGUUCUAGGUCGAGAGGGGAACAGCCCAGACCGUCAGCUAAGGUCCCUAAAUCAUGCUCAGUGGAAAAGGAAGUGUCGUGGCCGAGACAGCCAGGAGGUUGGCUUAGAAGCAGCCACUCCUUUAAAGAGUGCGUAAUAGCUCACUGGUCGAGUCACGAUGCGCCGACAAUGUAACGGGGCUAAGCAUGAUACCGAAGCUACGGAUCAGUAGUUUACUACUGGUGGUAGAGGAGCAUUCUGUAUGGGGUUGAAGCGGGACCUGUGAGGGCCCGUGGACUUAUCAGAAGUGAGAAUGCAGGCAUGAGUAACGAAAAGACAGGUGAGAUUCCUGUCCGCCGAAAGUCUAAGGGUUCCUGGGUGAAGGCAAUCUUCCCAGGGUGAGUCGGCUCCUAAGGCGAGGCCGAAAGGCGUAGUCGAUGGGAAACCGGUUAAUAUUCCAGUACCACUUAAUGGACUGAUGGGACGACGCAUGAGGUGAAUCACUGCCCCUUAUUGGAUUGGGGUCUAAGUAACGAGUUGUUGAGAGCUGUAGGCAAAUCCGCAGUUUGAGAUGAGUUAUGAAAGAUAGGCGACUUACGGGAAGCCGAAGAGUGAGGAAUCAAGGUGCCAAGAAAGAGUCUCUAGGGUUAAUCUGUUGAGUGACCGUACCGCAAACCGACACAGGUAGACGAGAUGAGUAUUCUAAGGCGCACGGGAGAACUCGGGUAAAGGAACUAGGCAAACUACAUACGUAACUUCGGGAUAAGUAUGGCCCUUGAAAGAGGGUGGCACGGAAAUGGCCCAAGCGACUGUUUACCAAAAACACAGGUCUCUGCUAAUCUGCAAAGAGAAGUAUAGGGGCUGACACCUGCCCGGUGCUGGAAGGUUAAGGGGAGUGGUUAGACGCAAGUCGAAGCUGCGAACUGAAGCCCCAGUAAACGGCGGCCGUAACUAUAACGGUCCUAAGGUAGCGAAAUUCCUUGUCGGGUAAGUUCCGACCCGCACGAAUGGUGUAACGACUUGGGCGCUGUCUCUACCCGAGGCCCGGUGAAAUUGACAGACCUGUGAAGAUGCAGGUUACCUGUGGUUAGACGGAAAGACCCCGUGAACCUUUACUGUACCCUGGUAUUGAAACUUGGCUUAGCAUGUGUAGGAUAGGUGGGAGGCUAUGAAGUUUGCACGCUAGUGUGGAUGGAGCCGUCGUUGAAAUACCACCCUUGUUAAGUUAGGUUUCUAACGGGUCCCAUGAUCUGGGAUCUGGACAAUGCCAGGCGGGCAGUUUGACUGGGGCGGUCGCCUCCUAAAGAGUAACGGAGGCGCGCGAAGGUUACCUUGCGGUGGUUGGAAAUCAUCGUGUAAGUGUAAAGGCAUAAGGUAGCUUAACUGCGAGUCCUACAAGACGAGCAGGUACGAAAGUAGGUCUUAGUGAUCUGGCGGUAGCGUGUGGAAGCGCCGUCACUUAACGGAUAAAAGGUACUCCGGGGAUAACAGGCUUAUCUUCCCCAAGAGUUCACAUCGACGGGAAGGUUUGGCACCUCGAUGUCGGCUCAUCGCAUCCUGGGGCUGGAGCAGGUCCCAAGGGUUUGGCUGUUCGCCAAUUAAAGCGGUACGUGAGCUGGGUUCAGAACGUCGUGAGACAGUUCGGUCCCUAUCUGCCACAGGCGUUGGAUGUUUGAGAGGACUUGCCCUUAGUACGAGAGGACCGGGGCGAACACACCUCUAGUGUACCAGUUAUCCUGCCAAGGGUAAGCGCUGGGUAGCUACGUGUGGACGGGAUAACCGCUGAAAGCAUCUAAGUGGGAAGCCCACCUCAAGAUGAGACAUCCCUGAGGGUUUAACCCUCUUGAAGGCACCAGGAAGACUACCUGGUUGAUAGGCUGGAAGUGUAAGCUCUGUAAGGGGUUCAGCUGACCAGUACUAAUCCGCCGUAAGGCUUGACCAUA